UGAUCACUGUCAAUGUGACUAAAUGUCACUUGUCAAAAUCAAGCUGUAGGUGCUGCUCGAAAUUCCAAAUAAAAAAUAUGUCAGGACACGCAGACCCUCCAGAGGCGACCAACCUAAAAGGUUUAUCCAAACAUUUCAACACUAUGACCCUCAGGGGACGGGCUAACGUUGCCAUCGCCACUUACACCUUCUGUGGCUUGAUGGGGAUGUACUUUUACUUGAAACCCAAGAAGAGCCCAGCAGCAUAAAGUUAUUAGUUACAAAUUUAAGGUGUAGAUCUUAGGUGGGAAAUGUUUUUUUUUUUUUUAAUAGAAGUGGUAAAAUAUAAAGGUUAUUUCUCCUAAGAAGUAAAAUUUAUAAGUAUUAUUGAAUGUGACCCAAUAAGUUGAUAGUACAUUAGUAUUUAGGUCAUGAAGUAAAAG
rnacentral:lncRNA from 1 species